rnacentral:rRNA from 1 species
UGGGGAAUAUUGCACAAUGGGCGCAAGCCUGAUGCAGCCAUGCCGCGUGUGUGAAGAAGGCCUUCGGGUUGUAAAGCACUUUCAGCGAGGAGGAAGGUGGUGGACUUAAUACGUUCAUCAAUUGACGUUACUCGCAGAAGAAGCACCGGCUAACUCCGUGCCAGCAGCCGCGGUAAUACGGAGGGUGCAAGCGUUAAUCGGAAUUACUGGGCGUAAAGCGCACGCAGGCGGUUUGUUAAGUCAGAUGUGAAAUCCCCGGGCUCAACCUGGGAACUGCAUUUGAAACUGGCAAGCUAGAGUCUCGUAGAGGGGGGUAGAAUUCCAGGUGUAGCGGUGAAAUGCGUAGAGAUCUGGAGGAAUACCGGUGGCGAAGGCGGCCCCCCUGGACGAAGGCUGACGCUCAGGUGCGAAAGCGUGGGGGCAGCAAACAGGAUUAGAUACCCUGGUAGUCCACGCUGUAAACGAUGUCGAUUUGGAGGUUGUGCCCCUUGAGGCGUGGCUUCCGGAGCUAACGCGUUAAAUCGACCGCC